rnacentral:rRNA from 1 species
GACGAACGCUGGCGGCGUGCUUAACACAUGCAAGUCGAACGGUGAAGCCCCAGCUUGCUGCAGUGGAUCAGUGGCGAACGGGUGAGUAACACGUGAGUAACCUGCCCCUGACUCUGGAAUAUGCGCUUGAAACGGAGUCUAAUACUGGAUACGAGAAGGGUCCGCAUGGUCACUCUCUGGAAAGUUAUUCGGUUGGGGAUGGGCUCGCGGCCUAUCAGCUUGUUGCUGAGGUAAUGGCUCACCAAGGCGACGACGAGUAGCCGGCCUGAGAGGGCGACCGGCCACACUGGGACUGAGACACGGCACAGACUCCUACAGGAGGCAGCAGAGGAGAAUAUUGCACAAUGGGCGAAAGCCUGAUGCAGCAACGCCGCGUGGGGGAUGACGGCCUUCGGGUUGUAAACCUCUUUCAGCAGGGAAGAAGCGAAAGUGACGGUACCUGCAGAAGAAGCACCGGCUAACUACGUG